rfam:Daucus carota subsp. sativus cultivar DH1 chromosome 6, whole genome shotgun sequence.
GACAGUUUGGCCGAGUGGUUUAAGGCGCCAGAUCCAGGUUCUGGUCCGAAAGGGCGUGGGUUCAAAUCCCACAGCUGUCA